GACGAACGCUGGCGGCGUGCCUAAUACAUGCAAGUAGGACGCAGUUGCGAACGGGUGCGUAACGCGUAGGUAACUGCCUAUUAGAGGGGGAUAACUAUUGGAAACGAUAGCUAAUACCGCAUACUAGUAGAUGGACCUGCGUUGUAUUAGCUAGUAGGUAGGGUAAUGGCCUACCUAGGCGACGAUACAUAGCCGACGUGAGAGGGGGAUCGGCCACACUUGUACUGAGACACGGCCCAGACUCCUACGGUAGGCAGCAGUAGGGAAUCUUCGGCAAGGGGGGGAAUCCUGACCGAACAACGCCGCGUGAGUGGAGAAGGUGUUCGGAUCUUAAAGCUCUGUUGUUAAGGAAGCGGUACUUAACCAGAAAGGGACGGCUAACUACGUGCCAGCAGCCGCGGUAAUAC
rnacentral:rRNA from 1 species